rnacentral:lncRNA from 1 species
GCGGAAGAACCGGGUAACAUGUCUUUAAAAACCAAAACACAGCAAGGCAAGGUGGCUCAAGUCUAUAAUCCCAGCAUUCAGGAGGGCAAGGCAGAAGUGCUGCAAGUUCAAGGCCAGCAUCAGCUAACUGUGAAUGCCUGUCUCAAAACCACACAAGGGAUUUUUCCACACAAGCGCAUACACAUCACAUGCACACAUGUAUGCACACGUGCACACACACCACACCACACCACACACAUAUACACCACACAGACGCACACGUGCACACACAGGCCAGUGUAGACAGCAGUGUAGGACAGUAGAGGAC